AAUAAAUCAUUCUUUCACUUUUUAUCUAUAAUGUCUGACUCUUGAUCUUAUUUGAAAAAAAUUACGAUUAAUAUUUUUAUUUUUAUUAGAUGAUAAAUCGUGAAGAGUACUUUAUGUGUGACUAAUUUUUUUAUAAUUUCUUAAAAAAAAUUUAAAUAAAACAGAUAGUCAAACGUGGGACACGGAAACGAAAGAAUUGGUUUUUC
rnacentral:pre_miRNA from 1 species